rnacentral:rRNA from 1 species
CUGCUGCCUCCCGUAGGAGUCUGGGCCGUGUCUCAGUCCCAGUGUGGCUGGUCGUCCUCUCAGACCAGCUACUGAUCGUUGCUUUGGUGAGCCGUUACCUCACCAACCGGCUAAUCAGUCAUCGGCCGCUCCGCUCGCGAGAGGCCCUUGCGGGUCCCCCUCUUUCUUCCGUAGAACUCAUGCGGUAUUAGCCAACCUUUCGGCUGGUUGUCCCCCACGAGCGGACACGUUCCGAUGUAUUACUCACCCGUUCGCCA